GGUCGCUUCUGCUUGAAGGCCUUUUGGUUUGUGAUGGUGUGGGCGUCGCCGUCGGUUAUCUGUUCCUCAUAUCAUGUGGGGCCUCCACCCCAACUUGUGCGAAUCUAGCGAUAAUCACAACCCUAGCCGCAACACCCCCCCAUUCUCGCCAUCGUGUGAAAUCGUCGGUGGGAAAUCCCACACGACCACUAAGGGUGGCGGUGGCGAGGUAUCUUCCCUUGGUUGCUUCUUCUGGUCGCUUUUGGCGUGUAUGAUCUUAUCGGACGUCGGUCGCCUAUUCAUGCUCUAGGAGCUUCCUAGGGCCGUGUCGACGAGCGGUGGCUACUUCAUCAUGUUGUUUUAAGGUGCGCCUGUGUUCCUUGCCAUCCUCGCCGCCCACUCUCUCCCCCCUUCUCGGCGGUUUUCUUGCCAAAUCUGGUAGUGGUUCCGCCGGAUCUGGCACAUGUUCCUCCAUGUGGUUCCUCUCUGGCCAGCGGGGGGGGUGACGUUUGGUGGUUGGUCGCUUCUGCUCGAAGGCCUUUUGGUUUCUGAUGGUGUGGGCGUCGCCGUCAGUUAUCUGUUCCUCAUAUCAUUUGGGGCCUCCACCCCCACUUGUGCAAAUCUAGCGAUAAUCACAACCCUAGCCGCCUCACUUCCACACCCCCUUCUCGCCAUCGUGUGAGAUCACCGGUGGGAAAGACCACGUGAUAACGAAGGACGACGAUGGGGAGGUAUCUUCCCUAGGUUGCUUCUUCUGGUCGCUUUUGGCGAGUAUGAUCUUGUCGGAUGCCGGUCGCUUGGCCAUGCUCAAGUCUCCUCCUGGGGUUGUGUUGAGGUGCGGUGGCUACUUCAUCAUGUCGUUACAGGUGUGCCUCUGUUCCUUUCCAUCCUUGCCGCCCACUCUCUCCCCCUCUUAGUCAUUUUCCUGCCAAAUUUGGCAGUGGUUCCGUCGGAUUUGGCACAUCUUCCUCCGUGUGGCUCCUCUCCGGCCGGUAGUGGGUGGGUUUUUACGUUUGGUGGUUGGUCGCUUCUGCUCGAAGGCCUUUUGAUUUGUGAUGGUGUGGGCGUUGCCAUCGGUUAUCUUUUCCUCAUAUUGUGCGGGACCUCCACCCCCAGCUUGGGCGACUAUAGUGAUAAUCACAACCCUAGUUGCCUCAAAUCCACACACACACACACACACACACACACACACACACUCUUGCCACCGUGGGAGAUCGCGAGUGGGAAAGCCCAAGCAACCACCAAGGACGGCGGCGACGAGGCAUGUUCCCUGGGUUGCUUCUUCUUGUCUCUUUUGGCGAGUGUGAUCGUGUCGGAUGCCAGUCGCUCUAUGCUGCCGUGUCGAGGUGCGGUGGCUACUUCAUCAUGUCGUUUCAAGUGUGCCUAUGUUCCUUGCCAUCCUUGCCACGCACUCUCUCCCCCUCUCGGUCAUUUUGUUGCCAAAUCUGGCAGUGGUUCCGUCGAAUUUGGCACAUCUUCCUCCUUGUGGCUCCUCUCCAGCCGGUAGUGGGUGGGUUUUGACACUUUGUGGUUGGUCGCUUCUGCUCAAAGGCCUUUUGGUUUGUGAUGGUGUGGGUGCCACCGUCAGUUACUUUUUCCUCAUAUCGUGCGGGGGCCUCCAUCCCCAGAUUGGGCGACUCUAGCGAUAAUCACAACCCUAGACACCUCACAUCCACCCCCCCCCCCCCAUUUCUCACCAUCGUGUGAGAUCGCCAGUGGGAAAGCCUACGCGACCACCAAGGACGGCGGCGACGAGGUAUGUUCCCUGAGUUGCUUCUUCUGGUCCCUUUUGGCAAGUAUGAUCUUGUCGGAUGCCGGACGCUUGGCCAUGCUCCGAUCGCUUCUUGAGGCCGUGUCGAGGUGCGGUGGCUACUUCAUCAUGUCGUUACAGUGGUUCCGUCGGAUCUGGCACAUCUUCCUCCUGUGGCUCCUCUCAGGCCGAUAGUGGGGGUGUUUGACGUUUGGUGGUUGGUCUCUUUUGUUCGAUGGCCUUUUGGUUUGUGAAGGUGUGGGCGUCGUCGCCGGUUAUCUCUUCCCCAUAUCGUGCUGGGCCUCCACCCCGAGCUUGCCAGUUGCGGUGGACUUCAUCAUAGGUGCUUGCUUGUGCCCCCUCUUCCUCUAGUUUGUGCUCGCCCACCUUCAUGGCGCCUCAUCUACGGCUUAGGUGACGGUUGGUCUGGUAGUGAUGGAACGGUGGCGUUGUUGUUGGGCGAUGUUGCGCCUAGGGUCAUUCAAGUAGUGUUGUCUUUAUGUUUGGUUGUGAUUUUGUCACUGGGUGCUUGUGUGUUAGUCGUUGUCAUCGUCAUGGCUGUCGAGUUUGGGUUGUGUUACAGUUGACUGGUGUCUAGGCUCUUGCAGUAGAUGUUUCUCACCUUUUCAUUUCGUAUGAUGCAACCUAAGCUAGGAUUGCUCGUCUCCAACUCGUGGAUCCGAUUCUCUUGGGUAUUGAUCUUAGGUCAUUUAGGUUCUUUCUUUUCGGGUCAUGCCUCUUUGGCGUUGUAGGACCUCGCCUUUUGGCGAUGUAUCUUUUUCUCUCGUAAUGAAUUGA